UUCUUCUUUUUUAUUAUUAGAUAUAUGUAUGAUCUCAUUUGCUAUUGUAAGAAUAAUUGAAAUGUGUGCUUUUGUGAAUUGCAGUUGUAAAAAUGUUAAAGGGAAUAUUAACAAAGCAAUGUCUUUCUAGGAUUAUUUUUGGUGUUCGUUGUACCUUAAAUUGAGAACGACUUAUCCAAAUUUCAUGAAACUUAUCAUAGUUGUUUCUUAUGAU
rnacentral:lncRNA from 1 species